rnacentral:rRNA from 1 species
AAACAUCGCCUCUUGCUAGAAUAUAAGAGGUCACGCCUGCCCGGUGAACUAAUUUAACGGCCGCGGUAUCUUAACCGUGCAAAGGUAGCAUAAUCAAUUGUUCUUUAAAUAAGGACUAGUAUGAACGGCAUCACGAGGGUUUAACUGUCUCCCUAUUUUAAUCAAUGAAAUUGAUCUUCCCGUGAAGAAGCGGGGAUAUAAUUAUAAGACGAAAAGACCCCAUGGAGCUUCAAACUUACUUUUAAUUACCAAAACCCAAAACACAUACCUGGUAAAAAUAAUAGUUGUUUUCGGUUGGGGCGACCCUGGAGAAAAAUUAAUCCUCCAAGCUGAAUAGACAAAAAUCUAAUGUUAGAGUAACAACUCAAACAAUCAAAACCUUGACAAAAUGACCCAGAAUUCAUCUGAUCAACGAACCAAGUUACCCUGGGGAUAACAGCGCAAUCCAUUUCAAGAGCCCAUAUCGACAAAUGGGUUUACGACCUCGAUGUUGGAUCGGGGUAUCCUAGCAGCGCAGCCGUUGCUUAAGGUUCGUUUGUUCAACGAUUAAUAACCCCACRUGAUCUGA